AGGGAAUAUUGCGCAAUGGGGGAAACCCUGACGCAGCGACGCCGCGUGAGCGAUGAAGGUCUUCGGAUCGUAAAGCUCUGUCCUUGGGGAAGAAGGUCUUCGGACUUGACGGUACCCAAGAAGAAAGCACCGGCUAACUACGUGCCAGCAGCCGCGGUAAUACGUAGGGUGCAAGCGUUGUCCGGAAUUAUUGGGCGUAAAGAGCUCGUAGGCGGUUUGUCGCGUCUGCUGUGAAAUCCCGAGGCUCAACCUCGGGUCUGCAGUGGGUACGGGCAGACUAGAGUGCGGUAGGGGAGAUUGGAAUUCCUGGUGUAGCGGUGGAAUGCGCAGAUAUCAGGAGGAACACCGAUGGCGAAGGCAGAUCUCUGGGCCGUAACUGACGCUGAGGAGCGAAAGGGUGGGGAGCAAACA
rnacentral:rRNA from 1 species